GACGAACGCUGGCGGCGUGCUUAACACAUGCAAGUCGAACGGUAAGGCCCUUCGGGGUACACGAGUGGCGAACGGGUGAGUAACACGUGGGCAACCUGCCUCAUAGAGGGGAAUAGCCUUUCGAAAGGAAGAUUAAUACCGCAUAAGAUUGUAGCUUCGCAUGAAGUAGCAAUUAAAGGAGCAAUCCGCUAUGAGAUGGGCCCGCGGCGCAUUAGCUAGUUGGUGAGGUAACGGCUCACCAAGGCGACGAUGCGUAGCCGACCUGAGAGGGUGAUCGGCCACAUUGGGACUGAGACACGGCCCAGACUCCUACGGGAGGCAGCAGUGGGGAAUAUUGCACAAUGGGGGAAACCCUGAUGCAGCAACGCCGCGUGAGUGAUGACGGCCUUCGGGUUGUAAAGCUCUGUCUUCAGGGACGAUAAUGACGGUACCUGAGGAGGAAGCCACGGCUAACUACGUGCCAGCCGCCGCCGUAA
rnacentral:rRNA from 1 species